rnacentral:rRNA from 1 species
GAUGAACGCUGGCGGCGUGCCUAAUACAUGCAAGUCGAGCGAACGGACGAGAAGCUUGCUUCUCUGAUGUUAGCGGCGGACGGGGGAGUAACACGUGGAUAACCUACCUAUAAGACUGGGAUAACUUCGGGAAACCGGAGCUAAUACCGGAUAAUAUUUUGAACCGCAUGGUUCAAAAGUGAAAGACGGUCUUGCUGUCACUUAUAGAUGGAUCCGAGCUGCAUUAGCUAGUUGGUAAGGUAACGGCUUACCAAGGCAACGAUGCAUAGCCGACCUGAGAGGGUGAUCGGCCACACUGGAACUGAGACACGGUCCAGACUCCUACGGGAGGCAGCAGUAGGGAAUCUUCCGCAAUGGGCGAAAGCCUGACGGAGCAACGCCGCGUGAGUGAUGAAGGUCUUCGGAUCGUAAAACUCUGUUAUUAGGGAAGAACAUAUGUGUAAGUAACUGUGCACGUCUUGACGGUACCUAAUCAGAAAGCCACGGCUAACUACGUG